AACGAACGCUGGCGGCAGGCUUAACACAUGCAAGUCGAACGCCCCGCAAGGGGAGUGGCAGACGGGUGAGUAACGCGUGGGAAUCUACCCAACUCUACGGAAUAACUCAGGGAAACUUGUGCUAAUACCGUAUACGCCCUUCGGGGGAAAGAUUUAUCGGAGUUGGAUGAGCCCGCGUUGGAUUAGCUAGUUGGUGGGGUAAAGGCCUACCAAGGCGACGAUCCAUAGCUGGUCUGAGAGGAUGAUCAGCCACAUUGGGACUGAGACACGGCCCAAACUCCUACGGGAGGCAGCAGUGGGGGAUAUUGGACAAUGGGCGCAGGCCUGAUCCAGCCAUGCCGCGUGAGUGAUGAAGGCCCUAGGGUUGUAAAGCUCUUUCACCGGUGAAGAUAAUGACGGUAACCGGAGAAGAAGCCCCGGCUAACUUCGUGCCAGCCGCCGCGGUAA
rnacentral:rRNA from 1 species